GCCCGUAUCGAUUAGCGGUCAAAUCACUUCGUUGUGGCAUAGCAGGCUCCGAAGAGCCGCUGGUUCGAUUUCAGCUACGGACA